rnacentral:lncRNA from 1 species
GCAGAAAGAGGAAAUGGAAAUUUGAUUUCUUGCUAGGAAUCCGCAAACAGAAGUUCGCGUUGCUUGGUUUGCUGAGUAAUUGUAGAGGAACCUUGCUUUUUGGGCGCGCAAGCGGGGCCGCUUACACGGGAAAUGUUUGCCCACGACUUGGCUCUUCACACUGUUUGCUUCUCUGUGUUACUGUUCAGUGACUACGUAAAGGUUUAAAUGACCCAGGCCCUCUGGUGUGCUUUAGAGUUGCCGCCAGAGUAAACCCUUGUGCCUUUAUGGAGCACAGAGACUGUUUACGGAGCGUCCCUUACUCCCACCCCUAAGCUUUGCUGUGCUCGAAGAGUCCACCUGUGCACAGCUGUACGUCACCAUCACUACUUGACGUUACAAGUGAACACUUGUUACCUAUCAGGUUAUGUGAUUGCGAAGUGCUUUCAGCUUCCAGCUUUCAGGGCUGUGCUCAACUGAUCAGGGCGGGAAACAAGAGUAUAGAGUUGCCAGGCCUGCUGGAUUUUCAAGAGAAAAAUUUUUGUGACUUCCUGUUUGAAAAUAUCAGCAGUGUAAUUCAAUUCAAGCACAGAAGGUCAAACAAGAAAUCACUGCAGGUUCACAGAAGUAAGCUGAGCUACUGGAGGAAGAUCUAGAUUCCAUUCUUUUAAGUACAGUGAGAACCGGGAAGAAAGAGUAGAAGGAAGCAGAAUUUAGCAAGCCGCUUGCCGCACCCGUCCAGCUCGUCGGGAGUGUGGUACUGGACUGCAUUUGCUGGGAGGGCAGGUUUCCCUGGGCCUUCACCGGGUCCCCUGGGGUCUCUGGGUGCUGGCCCAUGCGCUAGCGACAGCACAAUCCUCAGGAAGGGGCGGGCUGGCUGGGGGGGGGGGUGCUCACCCAGAGAAGUGGGGCGAAAGGGAAGCCGCCCUGGGACCUGGCCUCCACCCACAGCCGGCACAAGUGUUGAGAGCUCCCAAACCUCGAGAGGCCAGGCAGGUGACAGCAAGGCUGGUGGGGGAGCUGGGCCUGCGCCCGUCUGGUGGCCGGGCUUCGUUUCCAUGGCUGCGGUGUUACCGUCAGUUAAAGCGGCAGAAACUGGGCGGAGCACGGAUUGCGUGAGGUUCCAUCGCGCCAGCACUGAGGAGCAAUCACUCGCUGAUGGGCCAGCCACACCGCCUCCCUGGUGAACUUUCCUCUAAGAGCAAAGGCCCUUCGGGGGCCCAGUGCUUCUCCUAAGCCAUCCUUUCUUGCACCUGCUCCCCCUCCCCCAGCCUCCUUCAUUCAUGUUAUUAAAAUUUGG